GCUGGGCAUGGUGUUAUGUUCCUGUAGUCCAAGCUACUUGGGAGGCUGAGGCAGGAGGAUCACUUGAGCCCAGGAGGUCGAGGCUGCAGUGAGCCAUAAUCAGGCCACUGCACUCCAGCCUGGGCAACAGAGUGAGACCCUGUCUCUA
rnacentral:SRP_RNA from 1 species